AUGUCCCUGUGGACGCCAUGUUCUUUUUCGGAGACCUCUCCAAGACCAGGAUACGCCGAGACGCCUUUGUGGGUUCUUUUCGCCAAGUACCGACGACCGCAGAUUUUGGGACGUGCCAAGUUCCGUUUAAAGAUGUUCAACUUCAUCCGAUGUGGAUUUCGACAAGUACCACGACGCCCAGAGCCCUCGGAUACGUUAAGUUUGACUACACUGCGAGACGAAGAACGCCAAGUACAUCUCCGAAAACGAACAUGUACCACUAUGUCCGGAGGCAUCGGAUCCGUCAAGUCCAACAACGACUGUGUACAACUAUUGGCGACCUCGAACGACUACAAAACAUGA
rnacentral:rRNA from 1 species